rnacentral:rRNA from 1 species
UACGUAGGGUGCGAGCGUUGCCCGGAUUUAUUGGGCGUAAAGGGCGCGUAGGCGGCCACGCACGUCCGUUGUGAAAUCGCCCGGCUCAACUGGGCGGGGUCAGCGGAUACGGUGUGGCUCGAGCAAGCUAGGGGGCAAUGGAAUUCCCGGUGUAGUGGUGGAAUGCGUAGAUAUCGGGAGGAACACCAGUGGCGAAGGCGACCACCUGGACUGAUACUGACACUGAGGUGCGAAAGCGUGGGGAGCAAACAGG